CUUUUGCACGACUGUCAUAUGAAGCUUAGAGGUAGGAGAAGACAUGGCGAUGGCGAAGGAACUUACUGUUGCGUAGGGCCGGUGAGACGUGCAGAUGAUGGUGAUUGGAGACGAUGAAAGGGGAGGAGCUCCGAGCGGGUAGAAUUGCUCGGGGUCUUCUUGCUGGGUGGUGUGGUUGGACGGAGAAGAGAUGGCAAGUAUUUAUAGGGGGAUGAGAUGGGUGAGGGUGAGGGGGAGGUCAAUUGGUUUUCUUUAAUGCAGCAUUAAGAGUAUAGCAGUACUACUACUACUUCAUGUACUAGAGGCUAAGGAAGGACGCAUUUUAUUACCAAGGUAUUCAUGGCUGGAGAGUGGCAUGGUAGGGGUUGAAUAAUCUGUGUUGGGUGGGAGAGAAGUGCGAGGUGAGAGGCUUUAUGGUUGGUCAUAUACACAAGGCAAAGAAAUGUUUUUUUUUCAUUUAUCUGAAAGAAGAAAAUUUCCAGUGAUGAAUCUUCUCUUUUUUUUUCUUACUUCGGCGGUAGUUUUCUUUAGCCACAUGCUAGAUGACUGUGGCAAUCUCCCAACAGUGAGCCUGGUUGAAAAUUGUAACCCAUGAUAGGCAUGUCUAGUUUAAUUGUGCCAAAAGUUUGCUAGUGACUUAAUUACCUCCAGUAGAUUUUACAACUUUGUAGUGGCCAUGUAAGCAAGUUAGCUGGACUUAUUGGGUAAUUAUGACAAUUAUUUAUUAUUUUUAGGUGUGGAGUUGAAAGUUGAAACUCAUCAACUAUUUGUCCUUUUUGAUUGCUUCUAAAGAUUAUAGAAAUUUGACUGACCUCCAAUUCAUUUCACUACUUCAAUGUGGCCUUGAAUGGAAUUUAUUGGGCACACCAUCUCAAAUGCCCAGCAUUGCUGUCAAAAAAAAAAGGAGAGAAGAGAGAACUUGAAUGUUGAGCCAUGGUUAUGUUAAUCGAAUAAAUAGGUUUCUUGAAUAGAUAUGCUGCUAGUGCACCUUAUGCAAUUAGGUCUUUAAAUGGUGCAACGCAACACCUAUGUUCUUGCACGCACCGAUGCGUUGCUUCUGGUGCGCAUCUUGAUACAAUGACGACGAGAUAAGUAAUACAUUAAUGCCACUUUGUUUGAUGCACAUAAGAGCAGCACUUUGAAAUCUCAGCUCCGUUGGGGUUUUUCUUGUUUCCAGCUUGCAGUGUUUAAAUGCCGAGAGCAGAUAUUAAAUUCGUUAGUUGACUUGUUAGUGUUAUGGAGAUGUUGCAUCCUGAUUGUGUGACUUAAUCACCUUACAAUUAAGAAAAGGGUUAAACUUUGUAAAGUCAUACUAGUAUCAACCCACUAAUGUAAUCCCCGAGAUUGCUUACAUAUCCCACCUUGAUUAAUGAUGAUGACAUACAACUCACUUAAAGUUGUUUUGGUUUGUGUGUUGCAUUGGGUUUGGUCAAUGCUGCUACUCAUCAAGGUUAAGAGAUAGCCACCUGUAGAGAAAAUAAUUUGCCUCAGUUAGGACUAAUUCUAGCAUUAAUGCUCCCGUUUUGGGCAAAUAGAAGCAGUAAUGGAUGGUUUUGGGAUCCAGAGCCAACGCUAUCGGCCUCGGGAUCAAAGGUUUGAGUUCAGUUUACCUGAUUUUAUAAUAUUUCACCACCAUUCAUCAUGAUUCAUCGAUGAUGCGUCUAAAAUUGCAGGUAAAGUCUCGGAGUUGAAGGCAACUAUGAAGGCAAGGUUGACCCAAAUGCGAGCUCAUAACUGUGCCACUAGGUUAUUGCUUAGUACAGGAUAUGGUAUAUAAAUGUAUCUUUGCACGUAUAUAUUGCCAUUAGUCGGUGUAUGGGGGCCAAACCCAUGUGCUCUUCUUUAAUUCCAUGGUGGCAUCUAAGGAGCUUAAUUAGAGAUUAUGAGUGAAAAAUAAUCUCCACUGAGUUUUCUCGCGCCUUCUUGUUGUGGUUGCAAAGGCAAUGAGCUCCAAUGCAAAAUAGUUGGAU
rnacentral:sRNA from 1 species